AUUGAACGCUGGCGGCAUGCUUUACACAUGCAAGUCGAACGGUAACAGGGUGCUUGCACCGCUGACGAGUGGCGAACGGGUGAGUAAUGCGUCGGAACGUGCCGAGUAGUGGGGGAUAACGCAGCGAAAGUUGUGCUAAUACCGCAUACGUACUGAGGUAGAAAGUGGGGGACCUUCGGGCCUCACGCUAUUCGAGCGGCCGACGUCUGAUUAGCUAGUAGGUGAGGUAAAGGCUCACCUAGGCGACGAUCAGUAGCGGGUCUGAGAGGAUGAUCCGCGACACUGGGACUGAGACACGGACCAGAAUCCUACGGGAGGCAGCAGUAGGGAAUUUUGGACAAUGGGCGAAGGCCUGAUCCAGCCAUGCCGCGUGUCUGAAGAAGGCCUUCGGGUUGUAAAGGACUUUUGUCAGGGAGGAAAUCCCUAGCGUUAAUACCGCUGGGGGAUGACAGUACCUGAAGAAUAAGCACCGGCUAACUACGUGCCAGCCGCCGCCGUAACAC
rnacentral:rRNA from 1 species